GCCGUGACUGCGUGCCUUUUGAAGAAUGAGCCUGCGAGUUUGCGGUGUGUUGCGAGGUUAACCCGUGUGGGGUAGCCGUAGCGAAAGCGAGUCCGAACAGGGCGACUCAGUAGCAUGCCCUAGACCCGAAGCGGAGUGAUCUAGCCAUGGGCAGGGUGAAGCGAGGGUAAGACCUCGUGGAGGCCCGAACCCACCAGAGUUGAAAAUCUGGGGGAUGACCUGUGGUUAGGGGUGAAAGGCCAAUCAAACUCCGUGAUAGCUGGUUCUCCCCGAAAUGCAUUUAGGUGCAGCGUCGUGUGUUUCUUGCCGGAGGUAGAGCACUGGAUAGGUGAUGGGCCUUACCGGGUUACUGACCUUAGCCAAACUCCGAAUGCCGGUAAGUGAGAGCGCGGCAGUGAGACUGUGGGGGAUAAGCUCCAUGGUCGAGAGGGAAACAGCCCAGAGCAUCGACUAAGGCCCCUAAGCGUGUGCUAAGUGGGAAAGGAUGUGGAGUCGCAGAGACAACCAGGAGGUUGGCUUAGAAGCAGCCACCCUUGAAAGAGUGCGUAAUAGCUCACUGGUCGAGUGAUUCUGCGCCGACAAUGUAGCGGGGCUCAAGUACACCGCCGAAGUCGUGUCACUGCAACAAUACUUCUAACGAAGGUUGUGGUGGGUAGGGGAGCGUCGUGUGCCGGGUGAAGCAGCCGUGGAAACGAGUUGUGGACGGUAUGCGAGUGAGAAUGCAGGCAUGAGUAGCGAUACAAGAGUGGGAAACUCUUGCGCCGAUUGACUAAGGGUUCCUGGGUCAAGUUGAUCUGCCCAGGGUAAGUCGGGGCCUAAGGCGAGGCCGACAGGCGUAGUCGAUGGAUAACCGGUUGAUAUUCCGGUACCCGUUGUGGAGCGCCAACGCUGAAUCAGGCGAUGCUAAGCCCGCGAAGCCGCCAUCUGUCCCUUCGGGGGUGGGUGGAGUGGUGGAGUCGGUGGUCCAGACCUGUAGUAGGUGAGUGAUGGGGUGACGCAGGAAGGUAGUCCAGCCCGGGCGGUGGUUGUCCCGGGGUAAGGGUGUGGCCCGUGGAGCAGGUAAAUCCGUUCCACACGAGGGUGAGACCUGAUGCCGAGCCGAUUGUGGUGAAGUGGAUGAUCCUAUGCUGUCGAGAAAAGCCUCUAGCGAGUUUCACAAUGGCCCGUACCCUAAACCGACUCAGGUGGUCAGGUAGAGUAUACCGAGGCGUUCGGGUGAACUAUGGUUAAGGAACUCGGCAAAAUGCCCCCGUAACUUCGGGAGAAGGGGGGCCAUUUCUGGUGAUGAGACUUGCUCUCUGAGCUGGGGGUGGCCGCAGAGACCAGCGAGAAGCGACUGUUUACUAAAAACACAGGUCCGUGCGAAGCUGUAAGGCGAUGUAUACGGACUGACGCCUGCCCGGUGCUGGAACGUUAAGGGGACCGGUUAGUCACAUUUCGGUGUGGCGAAGCUGAGAACUUAAGCGCCAGUAAACGGCGGUGGUAACUAUAACCAUCCUAAGGUAGCGAAAUUCCUUGUCGGGUAAGUUCCGACCUGCACGAAUGGCGUAACGACUUCUUGACUGUCUCAACCAUAGGCCCGGUGAAAUUGCACUACGAGUAAAGAUGCUCGUUUCGCGCAGCAGGACGGAAAGACCCCGGGACCUUUACUAUAGCUUGAUAUUGGUGUUCGGUUCGGUUUGUGUAGGAUAGGUGGGAGACUGUGAAGCCUGGACGCUAGUUCAGGUGGAGUCGUUGUUGAAAUACCACUCUGAUCGUGCUGGAUGUCUAACCUGGGUCCGUGAUCCGGAUCGGGGACAGUGUCUGGUGGGUAGUUUAACUGGGGCGGUUGCCUCCUAAAGAGUAACGGAGGCGCCCAAAGGUUCCCUCAGCCUGGUUGGUCAUCAGGUGGUGAGUGUAAGUGCACAAGGGAGCUUGACUGUGAGACUGGCAGGUCGAGCAGGUGCGAAAGCAGGGACUAGUGAUCCGGCGGUGGUUUGUGGAAGCGCCGUCGCUCAACGGAUAAAAGGUACCCCGGGGAUAACAGGCUGAUCUUCCCCAAGAGUCCGUAUCGACGGGAUGGUUUGGCACCUCGAUGUCGGCUCGUCGCAUCCUGGGGCUGGAGUUGGUCCCAAGGGUUGGGCUGUUCGCCCAUUAAAGCGGUACGCGAGCUGGGUUUAGAACGUCGUGAGACAGUUCGGUCCCUAUCCGCUGUGCGCGUUGGAGUCUUGAGAAGGGCUGUCCCUAGUACGAGAGGACCGGGACGGACGAACCUCUGGUGUGCCAGUUGUUCUGCCAAGGGCAUGGCUGGUUGGCUACGUUCGGAAAGGAUAACCGCUGAAAGCAUCUAAGCGGGAAGCCUGCUUCGAGAUGAGGACUCCCACCCACUUGAUGGGGUAAGGCUCCCUGUAGACGACAGGGUUGAUAGGCCAGAUAUGGAAGCCUCGUGAGAGGUGGAGUUGACUGGUACUAAUAGGCCGAGGGCUUGUCCUC
rnacentral:rRNA from 1 species